GGAUGUGAGGAGGAUCUGGCUACGACAUCUUUCAUCCCAUUGAUCGCCAAGGUUGAUUCGGCUGAUGUGGCUGGCUAGGCUAGUGUCCCCUUGCCCCCUCACUGCUCCAUGUGCGUCCCUCCCGGGAGCCAUGAGCUCACUCGGUGGGAGAGGAUGACCACCUGACAGAGGAGGACUGUUUCCUCAGUCAAGGAUAUAGAAGUCACUGCACUCCCCUGCUAGAACCGCCAAACAAGCUCCCAAGUCACAGCACAACUUUGCAACUUGGAGGAAAAAAAUCGAGCAAGAGCUGACAGCACAGGCAGAGGGGAUAAAUUUGAGAG
rfam:Heterocephalus glaber contig13571, whole genome shotgun sequence.